rnacentral:rRNA from 1 species
UACGUAGGGUGCAAGCGUUGUCCGGAAUUAUUGGGCGUAAAGAGCUCGUAGGCGGUUUGUUGCGUCGGCUGUGAAAUCCCGAGGCUCAACCUCGGGUCUGCAGUCGAUACGAGCAAACUAGAGUGUUGCAGGGGAGACUGGAAUUCCUGGUGUAGCGGUGAAAUGCGCAGAUUAUCAGGAGGAACACCGGUGGCGAAGGCGGGUCUCUGGGCAACAACUGACGCUGAGGAGCGAAAGCGUGGGGGAGCGAACAGG